UAUGCAACACAUUAGCAUUUACUUUUCCCCCAAAAAAUAAUACUAGUAGUAUUGACUAUUCGAUGGGCCAUCCCAUAGGAAAUAUCGGUACUCCAUUAAAUAAUAGUCUUUCCUUUUGCCAUGGCUUCUUCCUCUAUUCGUUUGAUAAUCUAGAUCUACUCUCUUCAUCUUCUUCUUUCUCUUUUUAUUUUACCAUUUUUCUCUUCUAAUUCUACAGAUCUUAUCCCACUUUUCGAUCUGAUUUUGGUUACAGAUCCACUCGUUCCUCAUCUUUUUGCUUUUGUUGGUUUACAAUUCCUUUUGUUAUUUACAGAUCCACUCGUUUAUUUACAGAUCCAUUCUGAUUUUUUAACACGGUUUGUGCUGAGUUAUGCCAUCCAAAAGAUGGCAUUUUUAUUGCAAUGUAUUGGAAAAGAUAAAUACAGAUCCACUCGUUUAUUUACAGAUCCAUUCUGAUUUUUUAACACGGGUUGUGCUGAGUUAUGCCAUCCCAAAGAUGGCAUUUUUAUUGCAAUGUAUUGGAAAAGUCAAAUACAGAUCCACUCGUUUAUUUACAGAUCCAUUCUGAUUUUUUAACACGGUUUGUGCUGAGUUAUGCCAUCCCAAAGAUGGCAUUUUUAUUGCAAUGUAUUGGAAAAGUCAAAUACAGAUCCACUCGUUUAUUUACAGAUCCAUUCUGAUUUUUUAACACGGUUUGUGCUGAGUUAUGCCAUCCCAAAGAUGGCAUUUUUAUUGCAAUGUAUUGGAAAAGUCAAAUACAGAUCCACUCGUUUAUUUACAGAUCCAUUCUGAUUUUUUAACACGGUUUGUGCUGAGUUAUGCCAUCCCAAAGAUGGCAUUUUUAUUGCAAUGUAUUGGAAAAGUCAAAUACAGAUCCACUCGUUUAUUUACAGAUCCAUUCUGAUUUUUUAACACGGUUUGUGCUGAGUUAUGCCAUCCCAAAGAUGGCAUUUUUAUUGCAAUGUAUUGGAAAAGUCAAAUUCCUAUCAAUUUAAUUUGUCCACUUUGAAUAUCUAUCGAUCUCUAUACAAAUGAUAUCUAAUGUUGCUCAUCUAUUUUGUAGUCUCAUUCAAGGGUCACCAUUUUGUUGUCCUUCCUCUGCAAUCUGCUGUGCUCCUACCUGUGGUUCUUCAGCUGCUAGUUGAUUUGCCAUAUCUUGGAGUUGGUUUGUUAUUGGUUCAAUUGCUGAGCUAUCGCUGCAAAAGACAGACAUCAAAGUGACUUGAUAUCAUCAUUGUCCUCUUUUGUAAGAGAAGCAAAAGUAUCACUUUAAUAUGCCUGCAAGUGUGCAUAUAACGGACUAUCUUCUGGAUUAUCUUCCAAGUGGAUGGAUGGUCCUAUCAUCGAGGACUCGCCUCUGAGAGAUAUUUUCUCAUUAGUCAAACUUUUUCUUCCCAUUUGUAUAACUGGGGAGUUUGAUGUAGAUCUGUAUGACGAUCCUGAAGGAGAUGUUCUUCAUUUGGAAUGUGGGGAUGAUCUUCCCCAUCCUCUACCUCUACCUCUAUCCCAUGGAGAUUCCAUCCUGCAAAUAUUCACGAGAUAAGAAAUCCGGUAGAGAAUUAUCAAUUCCCUUUUUGUAUUGAAUUUCAAAAUUAAAAGGGGCCAAUUGAGCCUGCCAUUUUGCGAAUAUCAUUUUUGAGGCAUCAUGUUUAAAAUCUUUGUUAAACAUAUAUUUAACAGAUUGUGCGUCAGGUUUUAUCAAAAACUUUUAAUUGUAUAAAUCAUCUUGGAAUUUUAAAACACACUUAACUAUGGUUAACAUUUCAUGAGCCACAGUAGCGUAUUUUCUCUGGGCUUCAGACCAUUUUCCAGAGUAAAAUCUAAUCAAAUAUUCAUGCUUAUUAUUAGGAUUUAUCUGUUUCAAAAUCCCUCCGUAAUCAAUAUUGGACGCAUCAGUAUAGAUAAUUUUUUGCCAUGCAAGAUUAGCAAGGGUCAAACAAGGUAAAGAUUUAACACGUUGCUUAAUAUUUUUAACCAAAAUAGUAUGACUAUCAGUCCAAGGAUUUUUAUAAUCCUUUUUUAGCCUAUCAUAUAAGGGGGCUAAAUAACGAGACAAAUCUUUAUAAAAAGGUGAUAUAUAGUUUAAACUUCCCAAAAAUCUUUGUAACUGAGUUUUAUCAGUAAUAAUAUUGGGAAAUUUUGAAGCAAAAUCAAAAGAUCUUUGAAUCGGAGUAAUUUUUCCUUGACAAAUAUAAUGUCCUAAAAAUCGAAUAUUAGUUUGGAAUAAACUCAUUUUUUGUUUUGAAAUAACCAAAGCAUUGUGUAUAAUAAUUCUUUUAAAAAUAUCUAAAUGCUUAAUAUGCACUUCAAAUGUUUUUGAGAAUAUCAUCAAUAUAAACAAUGAUAAAAUUAAGAU